rnacentral:rRNA from 1 species
UACAGGGGGUGCAAACGUUGCUCGGAAUCAUUGGGCGUAAAGCGCACGUAGGCGGUUCGUUAUGUCGGAUGUGAAAGCCCUUGGCUUAACCGAGGAAGUGCAUCCGAAACUGGCGAGCUAGAGUACGAAAGAGGAUCGCGGAAUUCCCGGUGUAGAGGUGAAAUUCGUAGAUAUCGAGAGGAACACCGGUGGCGAAGGCGGCCAACUGGACGAAUACUGACGCUGAGACACGAAAGCGUGGGGAGCAAACAGG